GCUUCCUCUAGAGGCAUUGUAGGUGUAAUUGCUAUGUCACCUGUACAUUAGCAGGUGGCUGAGAAGAGAGAGGCUAUGUCUAUGAUCAGUAUUCUGACCUCUAAACAUCUGAAUGAUAGUAGCCUAACAUU